AAACGAGGAAGUGAAGUCAAGUCCGCCAUUUCAUCUUCUUCUUUAUAUCGGAAAAGAAAGGAAUCAUGCAAGGAUGCAAGCUGAAGGAAAGGACAACUCUCACAUCAGUGCAUUACUAAUUGUUUGACUUCAUCAUCAAGCACACCAGACGGUGCGGUGGUACAGUGGAUAGCUCUGUUGCCUCCCAGCAAAAAUGUUUCUGGUUCGAGCAUCGGCUGGGUCAGUUGGCAUUUCUGUGUGAAGUUUGUAUGUUCUCCACGUGUUAGCGUGGGUCUCCUCCGGGUGCUCCGGUUUCCCCCACAAGACAUGCGGUACAG
ensembl:processed_transcript